UACGUAGGGUGCGAGCGUUAAUCGGAAUUACUGGGCGUAAAGCGUGCGCAGGCGGUUGUGCAAGACAGAGGUGAAAUCCCCGGGCUUAACCUGGGAAUGGCCUUUGUGACUGCACGGCUAGAGUGUGUCAGAGGGGGGUAGAAUUCCACGUGUAGCAGUGAAAUGCGUAGAGAUGUGGAGGAAUACCGAUGGCGAAGGCAGCCCCCCUGGGAUAACACUGACGCUCAUGCACGAAAGCGUGGGGAGCAAACAGG
rnacentral:rRNA from 1 species